rnacentral:rRNA from 1 species
UGAAGUUUUUGUGACUGAGUGGCGGACGGGUGAGUAACGCGUGGGUAACCUGCCUCAUACAGGGGGAUAACAGUUGGAAACGACUGCUAAUACCGCAUAAGCGCACAGUGCCGCAUGGCACGGUGUGAAAAGAUUCAUCGGUGUGAGAUGGACCCGCGUCUGAUUAGCCAGUUGGCAGGGUAACGGCCUACCAAAGCGACGAUCAGUAGCCGGCUUGAGAGAGUGACCGGCCACAUUGGGACUGAGACACGGCCCAGACUCC